AUUGAACGCUGGCGGCAUGCCUUACACAUGCAAGUCGAACGGUAACAGGUCUUCGGAUGCUGACGAGUGGCGAACGGGUGAGUAAUACAUCGGAACGUGCCUAGUAGUGGGGGAUAACUACUCGAAAGAGUGGCUAAUACCGCAUGAGAUCUACGGAUGAAAGCAGGGGAUCGCAAGACCUUGUGCUACUAGAGCGGCCGAUGGCAGAUUAGGUAGUUGGUGGGAUAAAAGCUUACCAAGCCGACGAUCUGUGGCUGGUCUGAGAGGACGAUCAGCCACACUGGGACUGAGACACGGCCCAGGCUCCUACGGGAGGCAGCAGUGGGGAAUUUUGGACAAUGGGCGCAAGCCUGAUCCAGCAAUGCCGCGUGCAGGAUGAAGGCCUUCGGGUUGUAAACUGCUUUUGUACGGAACGAAAAGCCCUGGGUUAAUACCCUGGGGUCAUGACGGUACCGUAAGAAUAAGCACCGGCUAACUACGUACCAGCCGCCGCAGUAAAAC
rnacentral:rRNA from 1 species